rnacentral:rRNA from 1 species
AUGACUUCAGGACCUGGAAUCAUACCAGCCGAUGGCACGACCCUCUUUUGUUGGAUAUUAUGUAUUGUUGUUAGUUUGAAGCACUCCUCUGGUUUGAAGGAUAGAUACCUUCCUGGGAUCAAGUGCAUCCUAACUCACCUGCUACCAUAUAACUGGAAUUACCGAUGCAAGUCAAAGAAGGAUUGGCCGGUGCUGCCGGCUGGCGUCAAGUUCGAACCCACGGAUCAGGAGCUGAUCGAGCACCUUGAGGCCAAAGUGAGUGCUGACAGCGUGAGAUCUCACCCUCUCAUCGAUUUGUUCAUACCAACCAUCGACAGCGAGCACGGCAUAUGCUACACCCAACCUGAGAAACUUCCAGGUAUCACACUGAGUGGCCUAAGGAAGCAUUUCUUCCAGCGCAAUUCUAGGGCGUUCAAAAGGGGCACGUGGACGCGUUGCAAGAUAAAGUCGGAGUGCGGCAUGCACGCGAUGUGGCACAAGACCGGCAAUACCUUGUCGGUGAUGGUCAACGGUCGGCAGAAGAGCAGCAAAAAGGUUCUGGUGCUGCACACCAACAAGAACUCGACCAGCAGAGGACCAACUAGGUGA